rnacentral:rRNA from 1 species
GACGAACCGUGCGAACGUUGUUCGGAAUCACUGGGUUUAAAGGGUGCGUAGGUGGGUUGGUAAGUCAGUGGUGAAAUCCCCGAGCUUAACUUGGGAACUGCCAUUGAUACUAUCAGUCUUGAAUACCGUGGAGGUAAGCGGAAUAUGUCAUGUAGCGGUGAAAUGCUUAGAGAUGACAUAGAACACCUAUUGCGAAGGCAGCUUACUACGCAGAUAUUGACGCUCAUGCACGAAAGCGUGGGGAUCAAACAGG